UNUUGNNNGUNAGCGCGCGCAGGUGGUUUCUUAAGUCNGAUGUGAAAGCCCCGGGCUCAACCUGGGAACUGCAUUGGAAACUGGAGACUUGAGUGUGGAAGAGGAAGGUGGAAUUCCUGUGUAGCGGUGAAAUGCGUAGAGAUAUGAAGGAACACCAGUGGCGAAGGCGACUUUCUGGACUGAAACUGACACUGAGGCGCGAAAGCGUGGGGAGCAAACAGGAUUAGAUACCCUGGUAGUCCACGCCGUAAACGAUGACUGCUAGGCGUUAGAGGCCUUCCGCCCUUUAUGGCAGAACUUACGCCAUUUAAGCAAUCCGCCUGGGGAGUACGGGCGGCAGGGUUAAAACUCCAAUGGAAUUUGACGGGGGCCCCGCACCAAGCCGGGAAGCAUGUGGGUUUUAAUUCGAAGCAACGGCGAAAAACCCUUUAACCAGGUUCUUUGACAUUCCAUCUGAACAUCUCCCUAAAAAAUGGAUGUUCUCCUUUCGGGGAACUCUAAAUACCAGGGUGGCUGGCCAUGGCUUGUCCGUCACCCUCCGUGUCGUGAAAAUGUUUGGUUUAAGUCCCCGAAAACGAGCGCAAACCCUUUGUAUCUUAAGUUGCCCACCACUUUUUUGGGGGGCACCUCUAGGUGAACUGCCCGGGAAAACCCCGAGAGAGGGGGG
rnacentral:rRNA from 1 species